UUUCAUUAUUUUACCUAAAUG
rnacentral:miRNA from 1 species